CAACUUUCAGCAACGGAUCUCUUGGCUCUCGCAUCGAUGAAGAACGCAGCGAAAUGCGAUAAGUAAUGUGAAUUGCAGAAUUCAGUGAAUCAUCGAAUCUUUGAACGCACCUUGCGCUCCUUGGUAUUCUGAGGAGCAUGCCUGUUUGAGUGUCAUUAAU
rnacentral:rRNA from 1 species